rnacentral:rRNA from 1 species
CCUACGGGAGGCAGCAGUAGGGAAUCUUCCACAAUGGGCGAAAGCCUGAUGGAGCAACGCCGCGUGGGUGAAGAAGGUCUUCGGAUCGUAAAACCCUGUUGUUAGAGAAGAAAGUGCGUGAGAGUAACUGUUCACGUUUCGACGGUAUCUAACCAGAAAGCCACGGCUAACUACGUGCCAGCAGCCGCGGUAAUACGUAGGUGGCAAGCGUUAUCCGGAUUGAUUGGGUGUAAAGGGAACGCAGGCGGUUUUUUAAGUCUGAUGUGAAAGCCUUCGGCUUAACCGGAGUAGUGCAUUGGAAACUGGGAGACUUGAGUGCAGAAGAGGAGAGUGGAACUCCAUGUGUAGCGGUGAAAUGCGUAGAUAUAUGGAAGAACACCAGUGGCGAAAGCGGCUCUCUGGUCUGUAACUGACGCUGAGGUUCGAAAGCGUGGGUAGCAAACAGGAUUAGAUACCCCGGUAGUC